rnacentral:rRNA from 1 species
GUAGGUGGCAAGCGUUGUCCGGAAUUAUUGGGCGUAAAGCGCGCGCAGGCGGUUCUUUAAGUCUGAUGUGAAAGCCCACGGGCUCAACCGUGGAGGGUCAUUGGAAACUGGAGAACUUGAGUACAGAAGAGGAAAGCGGAAUUCCACGUGUAGCGGUGAAAUGCGUAGAGAUGUGGAGGAACACCAGUGGCGAAGGCGGCUUUCUGGUCUGUAACUGACGCUGAGGCGCGAAAGCGUGGGGAGCAAACAGGAUUAGAUACCCUGGUAGUCCACGCCGUAAACGAUGAGUGCUAAGUGUUAGGGGGGUUUCCGCCCCUUAGUGCUGCAGCUAACGCAUUAAGCACUCCGCCCGGGGAGUACGGCCGCAAAGGCUG